rnacentral:rRNA from 1 species
GCAGAGCAUCCUACGGGAGGCAGCAGUGGGGAAUAUUGCACAAUGGGCGCAAGCCUGAUGCAGCCAUGCCGCGUGUAUGAAGAAGGCCUUCGGGUUGUAAAGUACUUUCAGCAGUGAGGAAGGUGGGUAUGUUAAUAGCAUACUCAUUUGACGUUAGCUGCAGAAGAAGCACCGGCUAACUCCGUGCCAGCAGCCGCGGUAAUACGGAGGGUGCGAGCGUUAAUCGGAAUUACUGGGCGUAAAGCGCAUGCAGGUGGUUUGUUAAGUCAGAUGUGAAAGCCCGGGGCUCAACCUCGGAAUUGCAUUUGAAACUGGCAAACUAGAGUACUGUAGAGGGGGUAGAAUUUCAGGUGUAGCGGUGAAAUGCGUAGAGAUCUGAAGGAAUACCGGUGGCGAAGGCGGCCCCCCGGACAGAUACUGACACUCAGAUGCGAAAGCGUGGGGAGCAAACAGGAUUAGAUACCCUGGUAG